rnacentral:rRNA from 1 species
CUUGGUCAUUUAGAGGAAGUAAAAGUCGUAACAAGGUUUCCGUAGGUGAACCAGCGGAGGGAUCAUUACCGAGUUACCAACUCCAAACCCUUGUGAUUUUCGUAUCUGUUGCUUCGGCAGGCGGGCCCAGGGCGGGCUCUGUCAUGCCUGCCGAAAGACCAAACUCUUCUAUCCUGCCCUCUGAAGAAAAGACAAAUAGUUAAAACUUUCAACAACGGAUCUCUUGGUUCUGGCAUCGAUGAAGAACGCAGCGAAAUGCGAUAAGUAAUGUGAAUUGCAGAAUUCAGUGAAUCAUCGAAUCUUUGAACGCACCUUGCGCCCCUUGGUAUUCCGAGGGGCAUGCCUGUUCGAGCGUCAUUUCAACCCUCAAGCACAGCUUGGUCUUGGGCUUCGCCGCUAACCCGGCGGGUCUUAAAAUCAGUGGCGGUGCCGUCGGGCCCUGAGCGCAGUAAUCUCUCUCGCUAUAGGGUCCCGGCGGAUGCUGGCCAGUAACCCCCAAUUUUCUAUGGUUGACCUCGGAUCAGGUAGGGAUACCCGCUGAACUUAAGCAUAUCAAUAAGCGGAGGA